AGCUUCGGACGUGGAUGGUUGA
rnacentral:siRNA from 1 species